rnacentral:rRNA from 1 species
UACGUAGGGUGCAAGCGUUGUCCGGAAUUAUUGGGCGUAAAGAGCUCGUAGGCGGUCUGUCGCGUCGGCUGUGAAAACCCGGGGACGUCAACUCCGGGCCUGCAGUCGAUACGGGCAGACGUAGAGUGCGGUAGGGGAGACUGGAAUUCCUGGUGUAGCGGUGAAAUGCGCAGAUAUCAGGAGGAACACCGGUGGCGAAGGCGGGUCUCUGGGCCGUAACUGACGCUGAGGAGCGAAAGCGUGGGGAGCGAACAGG